rnacentral:misc_RNA from 1 species
UCUCCGUAGGUGAACCUGCGGAGGGAUCAUUACAGAGUUCAUGGCCUACCGGGUAGAUCUCCCACCCUAUGUUAUUAUUACUUUGUUUCUUUGGCGGGCCGUUAGGCUCCGGCCCGACUACCGGGCCCGGCUGCUAAGCGCCUGCCCGAGUCCCCAAAACACUGCAUAUUAGCGUAGUAUGAUUAUUAUAUAAUAGUUAAAACUUUCAACAACGGAUCUCUUGGUUCUG